AACGUAGACAUGGUCGACGCUGGUCAAAGUGUAGUAUCUGUUCUUAUCAGCUUAAUAUCUGAUACGGUUUGUAUUUGGACCUAAGAUAUUAAACUUAUUUUUGCAAGUUGGCAAAGUACUUAAAGCUUGCUUCACCUUUGCCAUAUUACUACUAUCUUUGGGAUUGGCUCACUGGAGAGAAAUUUUUGAU